UAGAGAGAGACAUGCGCGCAUAUCAAUAAGCGGAGGAAAAGAAACUAACAAGGAUUCCCUCAGUAACGGCGAGUGAAGCGGGAAGAGCUCAAAUUUGAAAUCUUCAAGGUUUUACCUUGACGAAUUGUAGUUUAAAGAAGUGUUUUCUGCUGAAGUUUUGGUAAAAGUUCUUUGGAAUAGGACAUCAUAGAGGGUGAGAAUCCCGUAUUUGACCAUUAUUUUCAGCUUUGUGAUACACUUUCAAAGAGUCGGAUUGUUUGGGAAUGCAGUCCAAAAUGGGUGGUAAAUUUCAUCUAAAGCUAAAUAUUGGCGAGAGACCGAUAGCGAACAAGUACCGUGAGGGAAAGAUGAAAAGAACUUUGAAAAGAGAGUUAAACAGUACGUGAAAUUGUCAAAAGGGAAGCGUUUGACACCAGUGUUGUUUUCUCGAAAAUCAAUUAAAAAUGGCUCGAUUUUGUAUUGCUUGAGACCUUAAAAGCUCACUGUACAUUUUUCGUGUCUUUUUUAAUGCACUUUUCGUUUAACAAGUCAACAUCAGUUUCUUUUGUUGUAAAAGGGUCAUUGGAAGGUGGCUUUCUUUUCGGAGAAAGUGUUUAUAGCCUUUGGCCUCUGCAAUCGGAGAGACUGAGGUCUGCAGCGUAGACUCUUCGGGGUUAGAUACAUUUGUGCUAAGUUAUAGCUUUUUAUAGACAACUUGUUGACUAUAAUUAGUCUUGUAGCUUACUCGCUUAUGCUAUUUUACCUACGCUUAGGAUGUUGAAGUCAUCGUAUCGCGC
rnacentral:rRNA from 1 species